UACGGAGGGUGCAAGCGUUAUCCGGAUUUACUGGGUUUAGAGGGUGCGUAGGUGGGUCUGUAAGUCAGUGGUGAAAUCUCCGGGCUUAACCCGGAAACUGCCAUUGAUACUAUAGGUCUUGAAUUAUCUGGAGGUAAGCGGAAUAUGUCAUGUAGCGGUGAAAUGCUUAGAUAUGACAUAGAACACCGAUUGCGAAGGCAGCUUACUGCGGAUACAUUGACGCUGAUGCACGAAAGCGUGGGGAUCAAACAGG
rnacentral:rRNA from 1 species